AAUUUUAUUUUAAACCAACUUUGUUCAAACCCCCUUAAGUAACGAAUACAAUACAAGCCACUCAUAUGUUGACAAUUUCAGUGUUAGCAUUUCAGAAAUAAUCAAAUAGUUUAUUAAGUCAAGCUCUGCAACCUUCAAUCUCAUUAGUUUUACAACAUUUACAAUCAGAUUGUUGUAACAACUGCACAAAUCACAGUUGUGGUAUGUGGUCUUAUGGUGGUCUCCUCUCUUUUAUAGAACGGAGAUGCCCAAAGCAGAAGAAUAGACAGAGGGAAUUCACUCCCUAGUAUGCUGGAACAAAAGAUUUACCCAUAUGAGAUGCUCAUUGUGACACACAGAGGCAGAAACAAGCUCCCUCCUGGUGUAGACAGGACAAGACUGGAGAGGCACCUGUCACCUGAGGAAUUCCAG